rnacentral:rRNA from 1 species
UUCGGGGAGACAGGUGGUGCAUGGUUGUCGUCAGCUCGUGUCGUGAGAUGUUGGGUUAAGUCCCGCAACGAGCGCAACCCUAUUGCUAGUUACCAUCAUUAAGUUGGGGACUCUAGCGAGACUGCCAGUGAUAAACUGGAGGAAGGUGGGGAUGACGUCAAAUCAUCAUGCCCCUUAUGACCUGGGCUACAAACGUGAUACAAUGGCUGGAACAAAGGGAUGCGAAGCAGUGAUGUGGAGCGAAACCCAUAAAAACAGUCUCAGUUCGGAUUGAAGUCUGCAACUCGACUUCAUGAAGUCGGAAUCGCUAGUAAUCGCGGAUCAGAACGCCGCGGUGAAUACGUUCUCGGGGUUU